UUUUCCUAUCUUGGGCUGCAGCUCCCUCCUUGCACCGCUUAUUCUGUUAUCAAUAGGUUGAGCACUGUUUUCCUUUUGGGUGCCUUAAAAACAUAUAGCAGCCUUACAAAAAAAAAUGGAGGGGGGGGGAGAGGAAGAAAGUGACAGUGUUUGUUGCCACUUCAAUCUCUAGGACCAGCCACAAGAUGAAAACGUCUGUUUCACAGCUGCAGCGAGACACUGUUUAAAAUUGCAGAGGCAGAAAUGGUCCUCUGUUAAACAGAAAUUAUGCAUUUUUUUGGCCUACUUUCUCUAACCUUUGGAGACAUGCCCAGCUUCUGACAGGCUCUGAUGAUGUCUCAGUGGAGGAAAUCCUACACUGAAGGAAAGCAUGUUGCCCUCUUCACUUAACUUUUCAUUCAUUUUAUAUUUUUCAUUCUAUGUUUAUAUACAAUCCUCCAUUUGGCAAACGUAUGUUAGGCUGUGUCAUCUGGAAAAAAAAAAGACCUGAACAAUCCCAUCCUCCUGCAACGGAAAGCUCAGGACAUCUUAGCGGUUGCGGAUGACAAUUCCACAGACACUUUUCUACGGGAUGCACUCCCACAGGAAAGAAAGCACCAGUCUGGAGGGUCCCAAGAUCUGCAGAAGCUUUGUCGUGGCUUCAUGUCACUCUCAGAGGUGGAUUUAAUGGAGCACGACUGGUUUUUCCACACUGGGUGCCAAGUUGAGAGGGUGCCGUAGGGGGUGCUGCAACAAUGACAAACAAUGGAAUGUGAGAGGCAGUGGCAGUAGGGGGCUGAAAUUAGAUGUUGCACAGGGCACCACUGAAAUUAUAAGACUGUCCCCCUUCCUCAUUGUCUACUAUUUGCAGAUAACAAAAUAACCAGUCCAUGCAGAAUGUAAGCACCCUAUAUAUAGAAAUGAGCAAACCAGUGAUAUUUUAGGGAGCAGG